GAGGGGGAAUGGAAGGACGGACGAUAAACGCCGACAGCCGGCCGGGGCUGGAUCCCAGGUUUUCAAAUAAUUGAAGCCUGGCAGAAGAGAACUACACAGAAUGGAUACUGGCUUGGUAAAAAGGCUCAAGGAUGCACAUCCAUAGUGAGCUUUUGACCAGAGAGACCUACAAGGUUUCCUACAAGAAGACAGAUUUCUGUCAGAGCACUUGAUUACCUACCAAAGAUGGACACAGAACCUAAGGAGAGAUUCAGCCCAUUGCACCUCACCAGGGGCCC